rnacentral:rRNA from 1 species
CCUACGGGAGGCAGCAGUGGGGAAUCUUGGGCAAUGGAGGCAACUCUGACCCAGCAACGCCGCGUGAAUGAUGAAGGUCUUCGGAUUGUAAAGUUCUGUGAUGGGGGAUGAACACAAUGACGGUACCCCAAUAGCAAGCCACGGCUAACUACGUGCCAGCAGCCGAGGUAAUACGUAGGUGGACAGCGUUAUCCGGAAUGACUGGGCGUAAAGGGUGCGUAGGUGUUUUAGUAAGGUGGAGGUGUAAGUCCGGGGCUCAACCUCGGCGCUACCGCCAAAAAUAUUAGAAGAGAGUGCAGGAGGGGUAAGUGGAAUUCCUAGUGUAGCGGUGGAAUGCGUAGAUAUUAGGAGGAACAUCAGGGGCGAAGGCGACUUACUGGACUGUAACUAACACUGAGGCACGAAAGCGUGGGGAGCAAACAGGAUUAGAUACCCGUGUAGUC